UACAGAGGUCUCAAGCGUUGUUCGGAUUCAUUGGGCGUAAAGGGUGCGUAGGCGGCGCGGUAAGUCGGGUGUGAAAUCUCGGGGCUUAACUCCGAAACUGCAUUCGAUACUGCCGUGCUUGAGGACUGGAGAGGAGACUGGAAUUUACGGUGUAGCGGUGAAAUGCGUAGAUAUCGUAAGGAAGACCAGUGGCGAAGGCGGGUCUCUGGACGAGU
rnacentral:rRNA from 1 species